AGUGAACGCUGGCGGCAGGCCUAACACAUGCAAGUCGAACGCGAAAGUUUCCUUCGGGGAACAAGUAGAGUGGCGCACGGGUGAGUAACACGUAGGUAAUCUACCUUUGGAUGGGGAAUAACAACCGGAAACGGUUGCUAAUACCGCAUAAUGCAGCGGCACCUAAUGGUGACAGUUGUUAAAGCGGGGGAUCGAAAGACCUCGCGUCUGAAGAGGAGCCUGCGGCGGAUUAGCUAGNGGUAAGGUAAUGGCUUACCAAGGCGACGAUCCGUAACCGGCCUGAGAGGGCGGGUCGGUCACACUGACACUGACAUACGGGUCAGACUCCUACGGGAGGCAGCAGUCGGGAAUUUUGGGCAAUGGGCGAAAGCCUGACCCAGCAACGCCGCGUGAAGGAUGAAAUCCCUCGGGAUGUAAACUUCGCAAGAACGGGAAGAAUAAGCGAGAGUUAAUAUCUUUCGUGAUGACGGUACCGUUUGUAAGCUCC
rnacentral:rRNA from 1 species